GUGAGGAAUAUUGCGCAAUGGAGGCAACUCUGACGCAGCCAUGCCGCGUGCAGGAAGAAGGCGCUACGCGUUGUAAACUGCUUUUAACCGGGAAGAAACCCCAGGACGUGUCCUGGGUUGACGGUACCGGAGGAAUAAGCACCGGCUAACUUCGUGCCAGCAGCCGCGGUAAUACGAAGGGUGCAAGCGUUAUCCGGAUUCAUUGGGUUUAAAGGGUGCGUAGGCGGAGCGUUAAGUCAGUGGUGAAAUCCUGCAGCUUAACUGUAGACUUACCAGUGAGACUGGCGCUCUUGAGUGCGCUUGAAGUGGGCGGAAUGUGCCGUGUAGCGGUGAAAUGCUUAGAUAUGGCACAGAACACCAAUUGCGAAGGCAGCUCACUAAGGCGAUACUGACGCUGAGGCACGAAAGCGUGGGGAUCGAACAGGAUUAGAAACCCCAGUAGUCC
rnacentral:rRNA from 1 species